GGAUGCGAUUAUACCAGCACUUAUGCACCGGAUCCCAUUAGAACUCCGAAGUUAAGCGUGCUUGGGCGAGAGU
rnacentral:rRNA from 1 species